CACCCUCACAGAGAUGCAGUCUGGUGGUCUCUGGAAGAAGGAAGUUGUGAAACUUACCGAUUCCUUGGGAAAACAGAGUCUGUCAAGUGGAGGUUACUACACAGGACCUUGAAGAGAGUCUGACAGCCCAAAUAUUAUUUCCUUCUAUUUGGGAUGAUUUUACUCCACAGUACGGUAAAUUGUGGGCUAGAAUCUAAAAGUGAUUUAGCAUCUCUACAAAAGAAGACUUCACAGGCAUUGCC
rnacentral:lncRNA from 1 species